CCUACGGGAGACAGCAGUGAGGAAUAUUGGUCAAUGGGCGUAAGCCUGAACCAGCCAAGUCGCGUGAGGGAUGAAGGUUCUAUGGAUCGUAAACCUCUUUUAUAAGGGAAUAAAUUGCGGGACGUGUCCCGUUUUGUAUGUACCUUAUGAAUAAGGAUCGGCUCGCUCCGUGCCAGCAGCCGCGGUAAUACGGAGGGUCCGGGCGUUAUCCGGAUUUAGUGGGUUUAACGGGUGCGUAGGCGGCCUUUUCAGUCAGCGGGUAAAGUCUGUGGGUACACCCUAGACUUGCCGUUGAAACUGGGAGGCUUGCGUAUGUGUGCGGCAGGCGGAAUGCGUGGUGUAGCGGUGAAAUGCUUAGAUAUCACGCAGAACCCCGAUUGCGAAGGCAGCCUGCCAAGCUAUGACUGACGCUGAUGCACGAAAGCGUGGGGAUCAAACAGGAUUAGAUACCCGGGUAGUC
rnacentral:rRNA from 1 species